AACAAGAAGCAAAUCCUCACAUCUUCCUUCGUUGUUCUCUGCAAACCUCGACCUCCAAACAAAACUUCUUCUUCCUCCUUGGCUCCUCCUACUUUCUCUUUCAAGAUAGAUGGCCGACCCCAAGUACGCUUACCCUUACCCUGCUCAAGGGUACUACCAAGGUCCUCCGGUCAUGGCUCCUCCGCGGUAUGCGGCUGCUCCGCCGCCCCGGCGAGAACCAGGGUUUCUCGAAGGAUGUCUUGCGGCUCUCUGUUGCUGUUGCCUGCUCGACGAGUGUUGCUGCGACCCCUCGAUCAUAUUCGUUAGCUAGAUGUGAUGUAGUUCAGCAAUUGCUUGCACAGUUCAAUUUGAAUAAAUUUGUAAGUUGUCAUGUUUUGUGAGUGAAGUUAUUAAUUAUCUUUUGCUUUUGAUUA